GAAAAAAAAAAAGUUAAUUUGUAAAAAGCUCUUACAAAGAACUUUUUGGGUCUCACAGCUCUUUUAAUAAGAUACUCGUACUUCGCUAAAAAGUUUCCAAAACUCUGCUUACCAAACAAGAAGCCUCAAGUCCUCAGCACAGCAGUUAAAAUGAAGACAGCACAAUUCACUUUUAUCUAGGGUUUUUACAUUCAUCUUUGCUCCAAUUUCUCAGAUCAUGGAGAAGAGGAUUCAAAAUUCAGAUCGAAUAUCUAAUUUACCAGAACCCAUUAAAACGCAUAUACUUUCGUAUUUGUCAACUAGGGAUGCAGCAAGAACUAGCAUUUUAUCUAGCAUUUUUCGUAUUUGUCAAUUGUUAAGGAAAGGGAGGAAUUUUAUGCUUUUCUUGAUAGAACCCUUGGGUCAAUUUCGAAGUUGGAAGUGCUCAAACUUUAUAUACCUCAGUAUGAGUUGGAGUUGAAGUCGCGGUUAGAUCAUUGGCUUGAUUGUGUUGUUGGUUGUCGCGUUAGAACUCUAAGCUUGGAAAUUGGUGGUAGGAAUGGUCCUAGGUAUAGUUUGCCUAAGAGUGUGCUUAGUGUGAACUUCAUCACUACGAUGAAUUUGAAAGGUUGUGAGUUGAUUUCGGCUUCUUUGGCAAAUACCCAAUUGCCUUCAGUGACAAAGCUUAGCCUUGUGAAUGUUUAUUUAGAUGAGGGUUUUAUGAGAAAAGUUGAAGAAGGCUCCCGUUUACCUAAAGGCUGACAUUAAGAACGAUAAGUGGUAUGCUAGACUCGUUAAGUUUCUCUCCAAGCUAGGCAAUAGUGAACAACUGUCAAUCUGUGUUGGUUUGGAAGAGGUAAUAUAAGGAAUGGUUCUUCCUUUCCUUAACUCAUUUUGUAUUUCUUUUUAGUCUUUUCAUCACAUUGCUUUUAUGUCAAUUGGAUUGGAAAACUAAUGAUUUGUAUUUGAGGGAGUUGUGUUUGUCAAUAAAGGAUCUUAUAGUUCCAGAAAAAGUGAGGAUGAAGUCUCGCCCUCCCCUCCAUGGCAUCAAGCAUUUGAUAGUAUCACUCCGUGCAUCAUUUAUAAAACGUACUCCUGUCACCUUUGUCGAGGCUCUUUUGUGGCUUGCACCUCGUCCAGAGUCUAUAUUUAUAUAUAACGACUUCAUUCCAAUUUACAAAGUGCUUAAGGUGCUGGAUAGGAUGAAUUUUGAAAUAUAUGAUUGAGAAAUAUGAGCAUAUGUAGGAGCUAUGGGACACCUCUUGCAACAAAUAUCUUGUCUUGCUCAUACCAAGCCAAAAAAAAAAGAAGAGAGUUUCACGUACGAGAUACCACUGAAAGGCGUGAAAAAAUGCGGUUGUUGGAAGACACCUGCCAUCAUAUGUUGGCGGCACGCCCUUGAAAAAGUAUUGCUUGAGAACCAAGAGGGGGAUGAAGAUGAUACAAGACUAGCCAAUUUCUUCACUAAGGGAAGGAUUGAUGAGAAGAUGGUGUCUUUUGUCAAGAGUGUGAAGCCUAAAAAGAAAAAAACUUUUCAUUUUGUUUCUAGUCACUGGUUGUUUGCUAGAAUUAGGUAGAUGGAAAACUUUCAAGGCAUUUGAACAUAUUAAAAUAUUAAGGUAGAUGCAAGCUGCUACUCUCACAAAUCUGUAGACUUCGCGACUAGCAGAGUCACCCUUUGUUAUAUGUCCAUCUGAAAUGAACAUGCGGAGUUUAAUUUUGUAAGAACUGCGGAAGUUUUUUUUUUUUUUUUUUUUUUGUAACCAUGGGGCUUUGAAAACGUAUGUUUAUUUUUAAGUGCCCUAUAUUCGUACAAUAGAUGUUGCGACUAGCUUAGUUGGCCAAGUGUAUAGCUAAGAAUUUUGGAGUAGAUUGACUUGUAAGCGAUGCCGAUUUAUUAGUUUUUUUUCCUACCUUAAAAAAUCAUUUACAUUAGGUA